AAGGUAGAGUUUGAUCAUGGCCAAGUCGUAACAAGGUAGAGUUUGAUCCUGGCUCAGGACGAACGCUGGCGGCGUGCCUAAUACAUGCAAGUAGAACGCUGAAGACUUUAGCUUGCUAAAGUUGGAAGAGUUGCGAACGGGUGAGUAACGCGUAGGUAACCUGCCUACUAGCGGGGGAUAACUAUUGGAAACGAUAGCUAAUACCGCAUAACAGCAUUUAACCCAUGUUAGAUGCUUGAAAGGAGCAAUUGCUUCACUAGUAGAUGGACCUGCGUUGUAUUAGCUAGUUGGUGAGGUAACGGCUCACCAAGGCGACGAUACAUAGCCGACCUGAGAGGGUGAUCGGCCACACUGGGACUGAGACACGGCCCAGACUCCUACGGGAGGCAGCAGUAGGGAAUCUUCGGCAAUGGGGGCAACCCUGACCGAGCAACGCCGCGUGAGUGAAGAAGGUUUUCGGAUCGUAAAGCUCUGUUGUAAGAGAAGAACGUGUGUGAGAGUGGAAAGUUCACACAGUGACGGUAACUUACCAGAAAGGGACGGCUAACUACGUGCCAGCAGCCGCGGUAAUACGUAGGUCCCGAGCGUUGUCCGGAUUUAUUGGGCGUAAAGCGAGCGCAGGCGGUUUAAUAAGUCUGAAGUUAAAGGCAGUGGCUUAACCAUUGUUCGCUUUGGAAACUGUUAGACUUGAGUGCAGAAGGGGAGAGUGGAAUUCCAUGUGUAGCGGUGAAAUGCGUAGAUAUAUGGAGGAACACCGGUGGCGAAAGCGGCUCU
rnacentral:rRNA from 1 species